AAUAUUGGACAAUGGGGGCAACCCUGAUCCAGCCAUGCCGCGUGUGUGAAGAAGGUCUUCGGAUUNUAAAGCACUUUAAUUUGGGANGAAUGUCUUUAGGUUAAUACCCUGAAGUUUUUACUUUACCAACAGAUUAAGCACCGGCUAACUCUGUGCCAGCAGCCGCGGUAAUACAGAGGGUGCAAGCGGUAAUCGGAAUUACUGGACGUAAAGGGCGCGUAGGUGGUUCAGUAAGAUUGGUGUGAAAUCCCCGGGCUUAACCUGGGAACUGCUUUCAUAACUGCUGAGCUAGAGUACGGUAGAGGGUAGUGGAAUUUCCUGUGUAGCGGUGAAAUGCGUAGAUAUAGGAAGGAACACCAGUGGCGAAGGCGACUACCUGGACUGAUACUGACACUGAGGUGCGAAAGCGUGGGGAGCAAACAG
rnacentral:rRNA from 1 species